AUUGAACGCUGGCGGCAGGCCUAACACAUGCAAGUCGAGCGGAUGAAGGGAGCUUGCUCCUGGAUUCAGCGGCGGACGGGUGAGUAAUGCCUAGGAAUCUGCCUGGUAGUGGGGGAUAACGUCCGGAAACGGGCGCUAAUACCGCAUACGUCCUGAGGGAGAAAGUGGGGGAUCUUCGGACCUCACGCUAUCAGAUGAGCCUAGGUCGGAUUAGCUAGUUGGUGGGGUAAAGGCCUACCAAGGCGACGAUCCGUAACUGGUCUGAGAGGAUGAUCAGUCACACUGGAACUGAGACACGGUCCAGACUCCUACGGGAGGCAGCAGUGGGGAAUAGUGGACAAUGGGCGAAGGCCUGAUCCAGCCAUGCCGCGUGUGUGAAGAAGGUCUUCGGAUUGUAAAGCACUUUAAGUUGGGAGGAAGGGCAGUAAGUUAAUACCUUGCUGUUUUGACGUUACCAACAGAAUAAGCACCGGCUAACUUCGUG
rnacentral:rRNA from 1 species